GAUGAAGAACGCAGCGAAAUGCGAUGAGUAAUGUGAAUUGCAGAAUUCAGUGAAUCAUCGAAUCUUUGAACGCACCUUGCGCUCCUUGGUAUUCCGAGGAGCAUGCCUGUUUGAGUGUCAUUAAUAUAUCAACCUUCUCUUUUUUGAGUUGUUUGGAUGUGGGGGUUUGCUGGCCUCUUAAAUGAUUCAGCUCCCCUGAAAUGCAUUAGCAGAACAACCUGUUCAUUGGCGUGAUAAUUAUCUAUGCUAUUGAAUGUGAGGGCAGUUCAGCUUUCUAACCGUCCUUGGACAAUUCAUCAUUAAUGUGACCUCAAAUCAGGUAGGACUACCCGCUGAACUUAAGCAUAUCAAUAAGCGGAGGA
rnacentral:misc_RNA from 1 species